rnacentral:SRP_RNA from 1 species
UGUUGGUCUCCCGCAACGCUACUCUGUUUACCGUGUCAGGUCCGAAGGAAGCAGCCAAGGCAGAUGACGCGUGUGCCGGGAUGUAGCUGGCAGGG